rnacentral:rRNA from 1 species
AUUGAACGCUGGCGGCAGGCCGAACACAUGCAAGUCGAGCGGAGCGGCGGACGGGUGAGUAAUGCCUAGGAAUCUGCCUGGUAGUGGGGGAUACCGUCCGGAAACGGGCGCUAAUACAGCAUACUAUCAGAUGAGCCUAGGUCGGAUUAGCUAGUUGGUGGGGUAAAGGCCUACCAAGGCGACGAUCCGUAACUGGUCUGAGAGGAUGAUCAGUCAAACUGGAGCUGAGACACGGUCAAGAAUCCUACGGGCGUCAGCAGUGGGGCAUAUUGGACAAUGGGCGAAAGUCUGAUCCCGCCAUGCCGCGUGUGUUAAGAAGGUCUUAGUAUUUUAAAGCACUUUAAGUUGGGCGGCGUAAACAACAGAAUAAGCACCGGCUAACUUCGUUCCAGCAGCCGCGGUAAUUC